GAUGAACGCUAGCGGGAGGCUUAACACAUGCAAGUCGAGGGGCAGCACGGGUAGCAAUACUUGGUGGCGACCGGCAGACGGGUGAGUAACGCGUAUGUAACCUACCCCAUACAGAGGGAUAACUCGAAGAAAUUCGGACUAAUAUCUCAUAAGACCACACGAGGACAUCCGAGAGUGGUUAAGGUUCCGGCGGUAUGGGCUGGGCAUGCGUAACAUUAGCUAGUUGGUAAGGUAACGGCUUACCAAGGCUUCGAUGUUUAGGGGUCCUGAGAGGGUGGUCCCCCACACUGGUACUGAGACACGGACCAGACUCCUACGGGAGGCAGCAGUGAGGAAUAUUGGUCAAUGGGCGCAAGCCUGAACCAGCCAUCCCGCGUGCAGGAAGACGGCCCUAUGGGUUGUAAACUGCUUUUCCAGGGGGCGAAUAGCUCUUACGUGUAAGGGUAUGACUGUACCUUGGGAAUAAGCAUCGGCUAACUCCGUGCCAGCAGCCGCGGUAAAAGUACUCU
rnacentral:rRNA from 1 species